UUACUCAAUCGCCAUGAAUUUGGCUCAUUAUAUCUAUCAUAAAGAGGUUCAAUACGUUCCUGUCUCUUGCGCUUCGUUAAUUUUGUUGGGUCAGCCGUCUUGAAGAAUCUUGGUGCCAACUCAACAAGCCAUUUAGGAUCUACCACGGUCACCUCACGCAUGUACUCCUUUGUUGUCAUAACAAGCUCGUGAUAAAUAACCCAGUCCGGCUGUCUUUGGAAAAGAGCACUGCUAGGAUGGAUGUAAACUGGCUGGUUCUCAACUAAAGUUCUAUAACCCUCUUGAGGAUCCUUUCUAGCAGCAUGAAAA
rnacentral:misc_RNA from 1 species